rnacentral:misc_RNA from 1 species
GAUGAAGAACGUAGCGAAAUGCGAUAAGUAAUGCGAAUUGCAGAUUUCAGUGAGUCAUCGAAUCUUUGAACGCACAUUGCGCCCGCCAGUAUUCUGGCGGGCAUGCCUGUUCGAGCGUCAUUUCAACCAUCAAGCCCCCGGGCUUGCGUUGGGGCCCUGCGGCUGCCGCAGGCCCCGAAAAGCAGUGGCGGGCUCGCUGUCACACCGAGCGCAGUAGCACAUCUCGCUCAGGGCGUGCGGCGGGCUCCUGCCGUGAAACCCCCCACUGUAACCCCAAAGGUUGACCUCGGAUCAGGUAGGAAUACCCGCUGAACUUAAGCAUAUCAAUAAGCGGAGGA